rnacentral:sRNA from 1 species
AGAAUCACCUGCCUCUUCCUCCCGAGUUCUGGAACUCAUGUGAGGCAUGUGUCGCCAUUGCUUGGUUAUGAAAUGAUAUUUUUGUUAUAGGUUGAUACUUGAUUGUUUUCACAAAUGUCCAAAAUUGUUAUUUUAUGAGUGCAUUUUAAAAUUGUGUAAACUAAUUAGCCCAUGAAGCAUUUUAAACCUCUGGCUACGUCCACCGAGAUGUUCUUCUCCCCAAGUGUGAGGUAGAGGUUUGCGUCCUAGCCCACUGACGCCAGAUAUACAAAAACAGUUCUGGCUCCCGAAGGUUUGUGCCAGCAGCACUAAAUACAAGGCACUUGUCCCCGUAACUACUUUGCGUGACUGCUUGUGACUCUUUAAUCAAUUGCCAACAGACUUGAUUGCUAUAAGUGGAUCUUUUGAAAAACAAAUUCUUGCUUUUUAAAGACGGAUAUUGAUGAAUAUACAUGAAGAUGUAAAGUUUGUAGUUGAGAAAAAUUUAAAAAUUAAAACCCGAGAAACCCCAAAAGAUGACACACUCUGAUUAGCUAUGUAUUAAAACAAACAAACUAACAAACAUGUAUUAAAGAGCUAAGAAAUGACAGGCAUAGGAUGCAAAGCUUUGACCUUCACUCUCAGCCUACUGUUCAUACAUUCACCUUCCUUUGCUUGGAUAAGGAAUGCCUAUUAACAUGUCUCAAAUCUAACAUUCUCAGAUUCCAGUUGACUACUUCUAGAUUUCCUAUUUUUCUGCUACUAAAAAAUGACUCACAUGACUUAACGAUACUGACUUUUCCUCCCUCUCUUCCUUAUUGCUUUAUUCUAUUCAGCAGAAACUCUGCCCAGAGCUAAAAGGAACAAGGAGAGCACAUGACCCUGCACUUUAAACAAUCUACAGGUUUAUGUCUUUAACCAGUGCUAGUAUGUUUUGGGUUUUGUGUUAGUCACCGAGGAGGAAUAUGAGAGAAUCAUGGGCCAUCUUAAUCAAGAGAACGAGCAGUCUACGUGUAUUCACAAGAACCACCACAAAACUAUCAACUAAAUUAAAGGAAAUCAGACUUUCAGGAGUCAGCCUGAGGGUGGACCCAGCGGCACAGCAGAUUCACUCUUAUCACAAGAAUCAGUGGCAGAGAUAUGGACAAGAAUGACACAGACAGUCCUGUGUAGCUCCUCAUUGCUAUUGGAAGGUGAAAUGGCUCAGAUACGAGCAUUGAAACAGAGAGAAGCUAAAUCAUUUUCAUAAUGGACAUUUCCAUGAAGAGAUAAAGCUGAGAUCUGAACCCAACUAUUUGGACUCCAAGUUUCUGACUCUCAGAUGUACAUUCCUGGACAAAGCAGAAUCUUUUAGUAUACUAGCUUUCUGCUAGAAUGGAAAUAAUUAUGUUGUAUUGGCAUAUAUCUAAGAUAAAUAAGUAGUAUUUUCUUCUCUUACUGUAGAUUAUGGAAUUGGAACUGAGAUAUAAAAGUAUCCAGAAAUUAUGAAGGACAUAAAGAGCAGGGUUAAGAUUUCAGCCAAACUUGGUUCUACCACCUUAUAUGAGUUUGCUUUUGGUUACUGUGAUCCAAGUAACUGAGAGAGAAAGAGAUAUUUGACUCAUAGCUUCAUAAGCAUCAGCCCAUAUUUGUUUGGUUCUGUGUGCUUGAACAGGAUAUUGUGGCAAACAAGGAAUGGAACUGUUUAGUUUGUGAUCAAUCAGGAAGAAGUAUGAUGGGGGACAGCCAAAGAUAAGAGAACCCUCUUUCUUUGAGAAAAUGAGUCACUUUCUUCAAUUCCUUUUGUCUCCUAAGUUUCCAUCAUCCUAUAAAGUACUAUCUAAUCAUGAGCCUUUGGUGUAGAGCAUUUCAUAUUCAAAUUGUAGCUCCAGUUUCUGCCUCCCCAACAUAGUACUUUUAUUGAUUAUUUGGGAAUUUAACACAAUUCUCCCAGAUUACAUUCACUUCCCAGUCUUACUAAUCCCCUCCCCUGAUCCUUUUGGCCUCCCCUCCUCCAAAAAACAAAAUAGGAAAUCAAAUCCAAUUUGUGUUGUUCAUAUAUUCACUGGAGCAUGGUCAAACACAUGGUGGCCAGCUUAAAAAAAUGUAUCUUUCCCCUAAUCCCUAACUUCACCAGAAGCCAUCAAUGGUGAAGAGCUACACUCCAGCAUCUCUCUAACAACUUUUAAUAUUUCAGUGGCUUUCUGUCUAGACUGUUUCUUUUGUGGGGGUUGCAGGUGGGGAGGGAAAAGUCACAUGUCAUUCUCAAUAGCUCGUCCACCAGAUGGUUGCUAAGAUAAUGACAGUCAAGAGAGUCGGAAGGUGACAGAAGAAGCAGCAGAGGAAGCAGAAGCAGAGGAGGAGGACAAGGGGGAGGACAAAGGGGUAAGGACAGGGAAGGAGGAGGGAGAAGAGGAGAGAGAAUGCAAGAUUUGCUUUCCUGAGGCCUUCCUCCUCUUUGGGACUUGGAUUAAUAGAAUAAUGUAGAAUUUAAAGACAGUCUGCUCUGCAUGAACACCCUGGAGCAAAUUCCCUUAUCCUUAUUACUCAUACUGUCUACAUGUCACUUCGCAUUUAUAUAGUGGUCCAUUGGUAACAUUGUCUGAUCAGAAGCCGGAUCCAUUUCCCUGUUUAAACACGAAGUUGCCCACAAUAUGGAAAUGUUGUAGAAAAUGACCUGUACUGAAUAGGAUUUUGUUUUUACAGGAAAAUUAUAACUCGUACUUGCAGGUUUUAAAUUUAAGACUUUUUUCUCCUUUCAUAUAAAUGGAAAUAAUAUUGAACUAUUGUUAAAUGCUCCAAAGGGCAUGAGAGUAGAGAAAUGAGUAAAGAGGGGGAGGUGCAGGCUGACAUUUAUGCUGACUCAGCUUAGAGCUGCAAGAUGAAAGGAAGGAGUCUAAGCUGUCUCGCAGGAUUCCAUACCAAUCAUGUUAAUUGGAAACUGGAAGGAAGAAGUGGUCACAAUCAACAGAUUUAUCACCCAAAGGGCAGAGCAGUUCAUAAAUUUAAUCCAGCAAAAGAAUUAGGAAAUAGAAUUGAUGCUUAUAAGAAUCAGGGCAGGGGUGGUGAGACCUCUCCAAAUAACCUUUCCCAGGCAGACGGCUGGAAGUGCUUGAAUGUAUUUUAUUCGAAGCUAUUAGAAAUAUGAAAAGAGGCCUCUCUCUCCCAGCCCCUGGCUGAAGCAUUGUAACUUCUUUUUUAUAGUCUUUAUAAAAGAAGAGCAAUAAAGAGACACAAACAGGGUAGUAAAGUUUAAUGGUGAUAAAAUCCAGACACCUGAAUAUAUGUAAUUUAUUUUUCCCAAGACCUCACCCCAUUGAGGUUGCUAUUAAUUAGCAUGGAAAUGUGUUACAGAGCCAAUUUUGCAUGAGGUUUGUUAUCUUGGGUACUUUAUGAAAAGGAAAAAACAAAACAACCAGAAAAAACGUUUGUCACUUCAUUGCAGCGAGGUGGAGGAAAGUCACCAAAAACAGCCUGGGGGCUCCAUGUGCAAAAAUGAGAUGCCAUCUCUCCAGAGUCCCAUCAGAAGCUCCUUCCACCAGAGGAAGGCGUCCCUGUAACAAAGAAAUGCAAUCCAUCCCGUGUUGGCUAGUAUUAGUUGUUCACUCCAUAUAAUCCAGAAUCACCUGGGAAGGGAGUUUCAGCAUGGGACUGUCAAGAUCAGAUUGGCCAGUGAGGAUGUCUAUGGAGUUGUCUUGAUUAUCCUAAUUGAUGUAGGAAGAGCCAGUUCACCGUGAGCCACCCCAGUCCCUGAGUAUGGGUCCCGUACUACACAACAAUGGGGAGACUGAGCUAAACAGCAAACAUGCAUUUGCUUUUUCUGCUGUGGCUAUGGGUCUACUGUGAUUAGCUUUUUAAGUUUCUGCUGCCUUGACUCCACCACUGUGAUAGACAGUAAUCUAGAAGUGUGAGCUAAAAGAAACUCUAUCUUUCUUAAAUUUCUGUUGUUUGGGGAGAAUUUUAUCGCAGCAACAGGAAUGAGAUGAAGAUACCUCCUGAGUUCCACCAAGAGCAUCUUUCAACUGUGAGGGAGGCAGCAAUCAUGUGAGGAAACCCAAUAUCUGAGGUCCUACCACCAUGAUAACGAAUGGAUCUGAGAACCAGAAGGCUUUACACAAAGCCUUCUAUAAUUAGUAUAUGGAAAACUAGUUGGCAAAGAAAAAUGUUGGGCUCUUUCUCCUUUUCCCUUACGAAACAACCCCAAACCAGUCCCAGGUGUCACUGCUGGAGCAGAACUACAGAGUGUGAAUGUGACCCAUGGUCCAUUAGAACAUUACACACACAUUUAAUAUGCCAAUGAAACCUGUGAGACCUAAGGUUCCAGGUAAAGGACAUACAGGAGAAAUCUGAGCUACUAGACAACUGUCCAAAUUUUAAUUCUCUGUUGACACUUGAGCUAUAUAGAACUAGCUUUUCUUAAGUUUGCUUCCUCUCUUGGAAAUUUGUGAUCUUUUAAUAAACUACCUCUGCUCAUUUGGCAAUUUUGUCUCUGCUCAGUUCUUCAUUGGUGAAUCUUAGAAUCUAGACCCUGGCAUUGCUGUCAGCCUCUCUCAGUACUGUUCCUAUGCCAAGCAAUCUCCAUUGUCUUCAUCUUUUUGCUGAGGGAAUUGAGGCUCCUGUAUGUUAGGAGAGAGCUCAUUAAGAAAGGGCCAAGAUAACAAAUUUGAGAGUCAGUGAGUGGCUGUUCCAUUUUUUUUUAAAUACACAGCCUGGAUGUCACCACCCGCAGUGUCCUGUUUGCUUCCAACCCACCAGGUAGACAAUUUACAGGUCCUUUAGAAGUCUAAAGGCAGAACUGUAAAAAUGAACCAAUUACUGUAACUAUUCUCAAGCCUCUCUGUGGUCAAGCAGAAUCCCCCACUUCCUGCUUGAUUUCUUUGCAGUGUUCAUCACCUCAGGACUGAGUGGAGGUAAGUCAUUCACGAAAACACAAUUCAACAUCUGAAGUCUCCACGUAAGUGGUGCUCGAUAUGCAUUUAACAAAGAGCGUGGUGGAAGCUGGAGAAGAUGAUUGGAAAGUGACCUCAUCAAGCACAUUUGAUGGCAAACAUUUCAACACAAACACCCCUCCCCCCAAUCCAUCUCUGUGUAGAUUAGUUCCAGGAAUCCCUGAUAGAAAUCAGAAUGCUCAUGUGUUUUAUACACAACUGAGAGGCCAAUGGAGGCAGUCACCCAGAAUCUGAAAGUGUCCAGAGAAGCUGGGGAGUCUUUGAGGUCUAUAGAAAAUGCAGUACGUGAAUAUAAAGCACUAAUGUUUCAAAAAGAGCCUUGCACAGUUGAGAAACUCACUGAAGUAUUCAUUUAUAUUCUUU